rnacentral:rRNA from 1 species
UAGCUUGCUAGAUUGAUGGCGAGUGGCGAACGGGUGAGUAAUACAUCGGAACGUGCCCUGUAGUGGGGGAUAACUAGUCGAAAGAUUAGCUAAUACCGCAUACGACCUGAGGGUGAAAGUGGGGGACCGCAAGGCCUCAUGCUAUAGGAGCGGCCGAUGUCUGAUUAGCUAGUUGGUGAGGUAAAGGCUCACCAAGGCGACGAUCAGUAGCUGGUCUGAGAGGACGAUCAGCCACACUGGGACUGAGACGCGGCCCAGACUCCUACGGGAGGCAGCAGUGGGGAAUUUUGGACAAUGGGCGAAAGCCUGAUCCAGCAAUGCCGCGUGUGUGAAGAAGGCCUUCGGGUUGUAAAGCACUUUUGUCCGGAAAGAAAUGGCUCUGGUUAAUACCUGGGGUCGAUGACGGUACCGGAAGAAUAAGGACCGGCUAACUACGUGCCAGCAGCCGCGGUAAUACGUAGGGUCCAAGCGUUAAUCGGAAUUACUGGGCGUAAAGCGUGCGCAGGCGGUUGUGCAAGACCGAUGUGAAAUCCCCGAGCUUAACUUGGGAAUUGCAUUGGUGACUGCACGGCUAGAGUGUGUCAGAGGGGGGUAGAAUUCCACGUGUAGCAGUGAAAUGCGUAGAGAUGUGGAGGAAUACCGAUGGCGAAGGCAGCCCCCUGGGAUAACACUGACGCUCAUGCACGAAAGCGUGGGGAGCAAACAGGAUUAGAUACCCUGGUAGUCCACGCCCUAAACGAUGUCAACUAGUUGUUGGGGAUUCAUUUCCUUAGUAACGUAGCUAACGCGUGAAGUUGACCGCCUGGGGAGUACGGUCGCAAGAUUAAAACUCAAAGGAAUUGACGGGGACCCGCACAAGCGGUGGAUGAUGUGGAUUAAUUCGAUGCAACGCGAAAAACCUUACCUACCCUUGACAUGCCACUAACGAAGCAGAGAUGCAUUAGGUGCUCGAAAGAGAAAGUGGACACAGGUGCUGCAUGGCUGUCGUCAGCUCGUGUCGUGAGAUGUUGGGUUAAGUCCCGCAACGAGCGCAACCCUUGUCUCUAGUUGCUACGAAAGGGCACUCUAGAGAGACUGCCGGUGACAAACCGGAGGAAGGUGGGGAUGACGUCAAGUCCUCAUGGCCCUUAUGGGUAGGGCUUCACACGUCAUACAAUGGUGCAUACAGAGGGUUGCCAAGCCGCGAGGUGGAGCUAAUCCCAGAAAAUGCAUCGUAGUCCGGAUCGUAGUCUGCAACU